rnacentral:lncRNA from 1 species
CACGUGGCUGCCAUUAGAUUAGAGCUGUCCCUUUAGAAAGGCAAGGGACAGGAGGAGGGAUUGGCCCUGAGCUCCAGGAUGUCAGAAGAGGAAGCAAAAAAGAGCAGCCUGCAAAUGCAGCCAUGGUGGGAAGGACUUGGAUCAGAUCCCAGAGGAGCCAGGCAACUUGAGUUUAGGAAUAGGGAGAAAUGUCUGGGGGAUUGCUGCUCUCAUCAAGAUAACUGCCUGGAAAGACUGUGAGUUGUUUGUUGUUCUUUUUAAAAAUAUUUUUAUGUGUAUUAGAGUUUUGCCUGCAGCUAUGCCAGAGUGAAAGUGACACAUCCCCUGGAGCUGGAGUUACAGACAUUGUGAGGCGCCAUGUAGGUGCUGGGAAUUGAACCUCUGUCCUCUGGAAGAGCAGCCAAUGCUCUUGACUGCUGAGCUAUUUCCCAGGAUGUCCUUAUGCUGCUCUGUGUGAGCAGAGGCCAGGCACUGCUAUGUGGAAACUAUCCCAACUUUGGUAGCCUCACAUAUGGGCUUGAAAAGACGAUGAUGGGAACCUGACCACAACAGCAUGUACCAGCAACCAUUAUUUAAGGAACCCAGACGAGGUGAGCAGCCCUAACUCCUGUGGGUGACACUGUGUAUGACACGGGGAAGGAGCAGGAAGAGAUGCCUGUACGUGACUCUCGUGGACAUCUCUCAAGAUGAGAACAGUUGAGCAAGGUCAGCAGCAGAGUCAGAACUCUUCCCCCAUCACCACAGUGGUCCUCAAGCUGGAGCCAGACAUCCACCCAGGUGACCCAGCUUGGAUCAUGUGCUUAGGGCCAUGUUGAGCCAACAACUGAGCCUGAGGAUUACCUUCCCAAGUCUCAGUCCCUUCCUCACCAGUCGGGACACUUGUCAUGCCUGCGAGAUGUCAGACCUGCCUUCCUUCCUCAUUUCCUCCACAACCCACAAGAACACAGCCAGGACCCCUAGGCUUCUCCACUUCAGGACCACUACACACUAUUCACACCAUCCUUCAGGACCACUACACACUAUUCACACCAUCCUUCAGGACCACUACACACUAUUCACACUGUACGUCAGGACCACUACACACUAUUCACACCAUCCUUCAGGACCACUACACACUAUUCACAUUGUACUUCAGGACCACUACACACUAUUCAUACCAUCCUUCAGGACCACUACACACUAUUCACAUUGUACUUCAGGACCACUACACACUAUUCACACCAUCCUUCAGGACCACUACACACUAUUCACAUUGUGCUUCAGGACCACUACACACUAUUCACACUGUACUUCAGAUCCACUAUACACUAUUCACACCAUCCUUCAGGACCACUAUACACUAUUCACACUGUACUUCAGGACCACUAUACACUAUUCACACUGUACUUCAGAUCCACUAUACACUAUUCACACCAUCCUUCAGGACCACUACACACUAUUCACACUAUCCUUCAGGACCACUAUACACUAUUCACACUGUACUUCAGGACCACUACACACUAUUCACACCAUCCUUCAGGACUACUACACACUAUUCACACCAUCCUUCAGGAUCACUAUAUGUGGCCUGUUGUACCAUGUGAUCUCGAUCUCACUGCAUGGCUAGGAGAACCUCCGCGCACUUCUCUCAUCUGUGCUUUCUCAGCUAGAGAGGUCUCAGAAGAUACUGUGAGCAAAACCUCCUCAGUAUGCCCUAGAAAGUCUAUAGUGGCACUACCUCCCAUCCUACAGCUGAGAAAACUGAGGUUUGGAUCAUGGUCUAGUCAUAGCUGAAACCCAAGGCUUGAUUCCUUAUCCUACAGAACACAUUUUUUUGAAUUUUAAAUAUUAUAGUGUGUGUGUGUGUAUGUGUGUGUGUGUGUGUGUGCUCACAUAUUCAUGUGGAGGUCAGAGGACAACUUUUGUCCUCUUCCACCAUAGAGCACAGCUUUGACCUGUAAGCUGCCACUCCUAUGUGGGGUUAUAUAACUGAAUAUGAGGGUUGCAACAUUUUUGGCAACAAUAAAAGGCUUCCGAAUGCAUAACAACCAAAUAGAUUAAAGAUCAAAUCUGCCUUGAAUCUAAGGUGUUUCUGGCAGUACUUGGCCAUGUGCACCACGUGACUGCACUGCUGCUCUGACUCUGAACAAACAAAAGACAAAGUUAAAUGAGAGGCUGGACAGAUGGCUCAGUGGUUAAGAGGACUGGCUGCUCUCUCAGAGGACUUGGAUUUAAGACCCACACCCACAGGACUGCUCACAAUUCUCCAAGUAGAGUCUUAGAGGAUCUGACAACCCCUUCUGGCCUCCAUAGGUACCAGGCACACAUGUAGUGCAUAUAUCUACACUCACCCAAAACACUCAUACACAUAAAAUAAGUAAGUAGAAAAAUGGAAAACAAAAUAAGCAAGCACUUCCAUCUUACUGGUGUGCAAUUUACUUUCAUUCUUAAUAAAUGGUAAAACUACGUGUCAA